rnacentral:rRNA from 1 species
GACGAACGCUGGCGGCGUGCUUAACACAUGCAAGUCGAGCGGUAAGGCCUCUUCGGGGGUACACGAGCGGCGAACGGGUGAGUAACACGUGGGUGACCUGCCCUCAGCUCUGGGAUAAGCCUGGGAAACUGGGUCUAAUACCGGAUAUGACCACAUGUUGCAUGGUGUGUGGUGGAAGGUUUUUUCGGCUGGGGAUGGGCCCGCGGCCUAUCAGCUUGUUGGUGGGGUGAUGGCCUACCAAGGCGACGACGGGUAGCCGGCCUGAGAGGGCGACCGGCCACACUGGGACUGAGACACGGCCCAGACUCCUACGGGAGGCAGCAGUGGGGAAUAUUGCGCAAUGGGCGGAAGCCUGACGCAGCGACGCCGCGUGGGGGAUGACGGCCUUCGGGUUGUAAACCUCUUUCGACCGGGACGAAGCGUAAGUGACGGUACCGGUAGAAGAAGCACCGGCCAACUACGUG